rnacentral:tRNA from 1 species
GCCUGGCUGGCUCAGUCGGUAAGAGCAUGGGACUCUUGAUCUCAGGGUGGUGAGUCCAAGCCCCACCUUGGGCA